AUGUGAUCGUCUCUCGCAUAUCAAUAAGCGGAGGAAAAGAAACUAACAAGGAUUCCCCUAGUAACGGCGAGUGAAGCGGGAAGAGCUCAAAUUUGAAAUCUUAAAGGGUUUCCCUUUACGAAUUGUAGUUUAAAGAAGUGUUUUCUGUUGAGGUUUUGGUAAAAGUUCUUUGGAAUAGGACAUCAUAGAGGGUGAGAAUCCCGUAUUUGACCUUUACUUUCAACUUUGUGAUACACUUUCAAAGAGUCGGAUUGUUUGGGAAUGCAGUCCAAAAUGGGUGGUAAAUUUCAUCUAAAGCUAAAUAUUGGCGAGAGACCGAUAGCGAACAAGUACCGUGAGGGAAAGAUGAAAAGAACUUUGAAAAGAGAGUUAAACAGUACGUGAAAUUGUCAAAAGGGAAGCGUUUGACACCAGUGUUGUUUUUCUGAAAAUCAAUUAAAGAACUGUUUAUGCUAAGUUGUUUAGACUUUAUCAGCUAUACUGUUUAGUUUUGAGCUUUUCUUUAAUGCACUUUUCAGUUAACAAGUCAACAUCAAUUUCUUUUGCUGUAAAAAAGCUUGAGGAAGGUGGCUUGAGAUUCGUCUUAAGUGUUUAUAGCCUCUUGCCUAUGCAGUCGGAGAGAUUGAGGUCUGCAGCGUAGAUCCUUCGGGGCUAAAUGCAUUUGUGCUAAGUUAUAGCAUUUUAUAGACAACUUGUUGACUAUGAUUUGUCUUGUAGCUUACUCGCUUAUGUUAUUUUACCUACGCUUAGGAUGUUGAGUCAUCACACAUCUCU
rnacentral:rRNA from 1 species